rnacentral:rRNA from 1 species
UGCCAGCCGCCGCGGUAAUACGAAGGGUGCUAGCGUUGUUCGGAAUAACUGGGCGUAAAGGGUACGUAGGCGGUUUUGUAAGUUAGAUGUGAAAUCCCAGGGCUCAACCUUGGAACUGCAUUUAAAACUGCAAAACUUGAGAUCGGAAGAGGAAAGCGGAAUUUCUAGUGUAGAGGUGAAAUUCGUAGAUAUCGGGAGGAAUACCGGUGGCGAAGGCGACCACCUGGCCAAAUACUGACGCUGAGGUGCGAAAGUGUGGGGAGCAAACAGGAUUAGAUA